rnacentral:rRNA from 1 species
UUGAAAGGGAAACGAUUGAAGUCAGUCGUACCAGCGGGAAAUCAACCUUUCGAGUGGGGUUUUGGAGUUUUGAAGAGUGUCAAAACCUUUUGAGAUUUCAAAAUAUUCGCUCUUUUGGUGUACUUUCUCGUGGGUAGGUUAACAUCGAUUUUGAUCAUCAUAAAAAGAUUGGAGGAAUGCAGCUUCGAUCUUGUAUUGAAGUGUUAUAGCCUUUGGUAAAUGUGAUGAUUAGGAUCGAGGAUUGCAACGAAUACCCUUUUAGGCUAUCCGCCUGAUCUCUGAUACGUGGCCUUGGUAUCGAAAGCGUGCUUAUGGUAUUGAGGUAUUACGGUCAAAAGGUUAGAACGGAUUACAUUCGUUAAGGAUGUUGACGUA